AACCAGGUAAACUCUAUGCGGUGCAACGCCAUGUAAACUGACGUUUGAGAGCGGCAAGUUCGAGUCAGAGGGUAGGCGGUUCGAGUCUUGGAGUAAUUCAAGGCCUAGAUAAAUGAUAAGGGCGUUUUAACGUUACAGAAUCCGGCUUAUGGCC
rnacentral:RNase_P_RNA from 13 species